CAUCGCUUCAAGUAUGCCUUCCUCACGAAUGCCAUUGUUGCAGAUUGCCACGACAUGGGCCUAUUGCUACAUCGUCUUCGGAGCCAACCAACAAGGCGAAACUGGACCGCUCCCAACCUGUGAUCUGGCUGCGCACGCAAGGCCUAAUAUGGAUCGUGCUCGACUACUCGUCUGGCAACCUGGAACUGAUACUACAGUCGUCACAGCCAACGGUGGAUUUAAAAGCCAGCCAGCCAUCGUCCACUUCGGGCACGGCAUCGCUUCAAGUAUGCCUUCCUCACGAAUGCCAUUGUUGCAGGUGUGACUCAUCAGAGGGAACUCUCUAAACAGUCUGCAAAAGAUGACACUGGAGAGGAGGCAGUUGGCGUCCGCUCUUGAAAAAGGGAUUGCAAGGAGUCACUCUGGUUCUUCGAGCGCUUUCUUCGCUUC